AAAGUCUGAUGGAGCAACGCCGCGUGAGUGAUGAAGGUUUUCGGAUCGUAAAACUCUGUUGUAAGGGAAGAACCAGUAUGUCAGGCAAUGGACGUACCUUGACGGUACCUUAUUAGAAAGCCCCGGCUAACUUCGUGCCAGCAGCCGCGGUAAUACGAAGGGGGCUAGCGUUGUUCGGAAUUACUGGGCGUAAAGCUCACGUAGGCGGGCAUUUAAGUCAGGGGUGAAAUCCCAGAGCUCAACUCUGGAACUGCCUUUGAUACUGGGUGUCUUGAGUAUGGAAGAGGUAAGUGGAAUUCCGAGUGUAGAGGUGAAAUUCGUAGAUAUUCGGAGGAACACCAGUGGCGAAGGCGGCUUACUGGUCCAUUACUGACGCUGAGGUGCGAAAGCGUGGGGAGCAAACA
rnacentral:rRNA from 1 species